UAUACUCUCAAAAUUCAAACCCCUAAAUCAUAAACAUAAUACUUAACCUUCAAACAUUAUAAAAAAAAAUCACCGAACUCUAAGUUUCAUUUAUAAAUCUAUUUAUUUCAAAUAUUAAUCCUAAAAUUUUAUUAAAUGAAUCGUUAGUUAAAAUGCCAAAAAACUUAAUUAAAAUGUUCUUAGACACAAUCACCAAAAACACAAUCACUCCGGUAGUCACAUUCUUCCCCACGACCAUUAGCCCUUUACAUACAACUAUUGUGUUUGAUUGGAUGGUAAAGAAUAAAAAAGAAGGUAAAAUAUGAUUGGUUGAAUAAAUAUGUGGCAAGGAUUGACUCAAACUAAUCUUAACUGUUGAUUGUAUCAUCCAUCUAAUGGACAUAAAUUAUUUGUGCUUCUUGCCUUUCUCUCUUUUCCUCUCCUCUCUUCGUCGUUUAUUCGUUUUCAUCCAUUAUCUCUUUCUGCAACAGUUGAUGGCUUCACCUCCCUCACCGGGUUUCACCACCACCAUCACUGAACUGAGAAAAACAGUGAUGAAACAUGAAGGAUGAGUGGUAGUGUGACGGAGAAGACAGUAAAGAGGAGGACGGCGGGAAGAGGAACCACCACCACCUUGAACAAGUCUUAUGUGGAUGAUUUCUUCUGAAACAGCGGCGGAGAGAGGAGGCAUGAAGAAAUCGAGGUGGCGAUGGAGUUAUGUGAAGAUUUAAGAAGAGGAAGAGAGAGAAGAAGAAGAAGAAGAAGAAGAGGAAGUUGUAGAGGAGGAGAUGUGAACGGAGUGGAAGGAGAUGAGACACAUACAUAACCGGACUGGAAAGAGGCGACGAGGAGAUGUGACCAGAGUGGAAGGAGACAAAGCAGAGACUUGACCGGAGUGGAACGAGAUGAGGCGGAGACCUGACCAAAGUUACCCCGGUGGUGGUUCGCCGAUGUCGUCAAAGUCACGCCGGUGGUGGUUUUGUAUAAUAUUUGUAUAUACACAUGUAUUUAGAUUUGUAUUUGUACGUAUACAUUUUUAUUUUAAUAAAAUUUAUAUUUAAUAAUUA